UGUUUGUUUCUCAAUAAUGAUGUUGGUUUACUUCUGAACAAGGUUUAAUUUCCUCUUGUAACAUAUCAGCUUUAACUCAGUCAUGACACAAAUGGAAACUUAGCACCAACGCACAGAGCACUGUCAACGUUACGAAACCAGAAAAUAGGUUUGGCAUGAGUUAAAUAGUGCAGUGAGUAAUAAAGCAGUAGUUUACCGCCAAGGUUAGAGUUGGAGUUAGUUAUGUAUGUUAACUUGAUAUGAAUUGUUUUUCAUGCCUUCUUAUUGACAUUACAACAAAUAUGUGGAGUCUUAUAAACCGCAUCAAGUCAAAUGAAACAUGAAUGAUGAUCAGCAAAAUGUCAAUGGUUCCACAGUGCUCUUCUGGUCUCACAAUCCUAGUGUCAAUACAAGCUAGUUUUAUUAAAUAAAAAAGUGGGAAUGAAUUCUGUUUGUUUCUCAAUAAUGAUGGUUUAAUUCUGAGCAAUGUUUCAUUUCCUCUUGCAACAUAACUAGCUGCAGCUUUAACUCAGUCAUGACACAAAUGGAAACUAGGCACCACCGCACAGAGUUGUCAAUGUUAUGAAACAAGAACAUAUGUUUGGCAUGAGUUAAAUAGUGCAGUGAGUAAUAAUGCAGUAAUUUACAUAUCCCAUAAGUGUCUUCCUAUUUUAUCUAUCAUUGAAGGAGGACACUCCUUCAAGCGAAACAGGUUUUAGUUGGAAGAACACUUUUUCAAAAGCUCCCAGACAUAGCAUAUACAGCCUUAUUUGACUCGGGAAUAGGACAAUGAACAACAUUUGGCACAAUAAGUAACUUACUCAAGGAUUCAUGUCAACAAGACUUUAAGUUUGGAGAAGAGAACCACCCCAAGACCCAGAGUGAGGAACAGCAUGAGAAGAAUCAAGAUGCCGGCCCCUCUGAGGGUCAGAAUCAUAAUAAUUGCCAUCCUCACCAACCUCUAACGGUAUUGGUUUCAACUACUAAACUACUGGACGGUCCAACUACUCAUCACUGAAUUUCUAAUGUUACAAUAACAUAUUAAAUUAAUGUGUAACUCAAUUAGCUUAUAUUUGCUGUAACAUCAAACAAUUCUAGAUGCCACAACAAUGUAAAGAAGACCAAUCUGGCACCAAGACAGAGGUGUAUUAUGAAAAAUAUUUUCUUCCUUGGAAAUGGAACAUCACAGCCUUGUGAGUUGUCUGUGUAUUUGUUUUAGUGAUUGGAAUUUGGUAAUGGUAAGGAACCUUAAGGUGUCUUGAAAAAUCUUUUAUACCUAGGUCUACUUUUUUUUCUUUUUAGAAUUCAGAACAACCACAUGGAAUCAAUUGUGCCUGUAAAUAGCAGUAAGUAAAGCUAGUGGAAUUAAAGUGGCCUACUAGAAAGUAUUCAGUCUACUAGUUUGUCUUAAAGUUUUGAGAUUUCAAAAUCGUACUAAUUGCCACCUGUGAACAUUGUAUGAUAUCAUGUCAUAUAUAUUGUUAUCACU
rnacentral:lncRNA from 13 species